rnacentral:rRNA from 1 species
CAGUAGCCGCGGUAAUACGGAGGGUGCAAGCGUUAAUCGGAAUUACUGGGCGUAAAGCGCACGCAGGCGGUUUGUUAAGUCAGAUGUGAAAUCCCCGAGCUUAACUUGGGAACUGCAUUUGAAACUGGCAAGCUAGAGUCUUGUAGAGGGGGGUAGAAUUCCAGGUGUAGCGGUGAAAUGCGUAGAGAUCUGGAGGAAUACCGAUGGCGAAGGCAGCCAUCUGGCCUAAUACUGACGCUGAGGUACGAAAGCAUGGGGAGCAAACAGGAUUAGAUACCCGUGUAGUCCCUGUCUCUUAUAC